UUCUGCCCAUGCGGGGAAGGAUGAGAAGCUUCGACCAAGGUUCGACUCGAGCGCCAGCGAGAGAGCGUUGCCGCAGGCAACGACCCGAAGGGCGAAGCGCGCAGCGCUGAGUAAUCCUUCCCCCACCCCCA
rnacentral:sRNA from 1 species